ACAGCUUUGGACAAAAGUCUAUAGCCAGUGCAUUUGAAACUCCCCUUGCACAAGGGCUGACUGUAGCUGGGGAAAGACAGUUUACUCAUUUGCUCUCUCCUUUCAUAUAGUCAGCUGGCCCUCUUCUCAGGUGUAGAUCACCAAUUAUCAUUUCACCUGUUUUGAUUCUCUGAUGAGGAAAGUCCCAGGACUUAUCAGCUGGGAUAGGCCUCAUUUACAAGACAGCUCU
rfam:Tursiops truncatus cont1.126489, whole genome shotgun sequence.